rnacentral:rRNA from 1 species
GACGAACGCUGGCGGCGUGCUUAACACAUGCAAGUCGAACGGUAAGGCCCUUCGGGGUACACGAGUGGCGAACGGGUGAGUAACACGUGGGUGAUCUGCCCUGCACUUCGGGAUAAGCCUGGGAAACUGGGUCUAAUACCGGUUAGGACCCUGGGAUGCAUGUCCUGGGGUGGAAAGCUUUUGCGGUGUGGGAUGGGCCCGCGGCCUAUCAGCUUGUUGGUGGGGGUGAUGGCCUACCAAGGCGACGACGGGUAGCCGGCCUGAGAGGGUGACCGGCCACACUGGGACUGAGAUACGGCCCAGACUCCUACGGGAGGCAGCAGUGGGGAAUAUUGCACAAUGGGCGCAAGCCUGAUGCAGCGACGCCGCGUGAGGGAUGACGGCCUUCGGGUUGUAAACCUCUUUCAGCACCGACGAAGCGCAAGUGACGGUAGGUGCAGAAGAAGGACCGGCCAACUAGGUGCCAGCCGCCGCAGUAA